rnacentral:rRNA from 1 species
AGUGAACGCUGGCGGUAGGCCUAACACAUGCAAGUCGAACGGCAGCACAGUAAGAGCUUGCUCUUACGGGUGGCGAGUGGCGGACGGGUGAGGAAUACAUCGGAAUCUACUUUUUCGUGGGGGAUAACGUAGGGAAACUUACGCUAAUACCGCAUACGACCUACGGGUGAAAGCAGGGGAUCUUCGGACCUUGCGCGAUUGAAUGAGCCGAUGUCGGAUUAGCUAGUUGGCGGGGUAAAGGCCCACCAAGGCGACGAUCCGUAGCUGGUCUGAGAGGAUGAUCAGCCACACUGGAACUGUGACACGGUCCAGACUCCUACGGGAGGCAGCAGUGGGGAAUAUUGGACAAUGGGCGCAAUCCUGAUCCAGCCAAACCGCGUGGGUGAAGAAGGCCUUCGGGUUGUAAAGCCCUUUUGUUGGGAAAGAAAAGCAGCAGGUUAAUACCCCGCUGUUCUGACGGUACCCAAAGAAUAAGCACCGGCUAACUUCGUG